rnacentral:rRNA from 1 species
CGCGUACAAAACCUACCUUUUACUGGGGGAAAGUCGCUGGAAACGGCGAAUAAUCCCGCAUACGACUAUAAUAACACAUGUUAUAAUAGUGAAAGGCUUCGGUUGGUAAAAGAUGGUUGUGCGUCCCAUUAGCUAGAUGGUAAGGUAACGGCUUACCAUGGCGACGAUGGGUAGGGGGCGUGAGAGCGUGAUCCCCCACACGGGUACUGAGACACGGCCCAGACUCCUACGGGAGGCAGCAGUGGGGAAUAUUGCACAAUGGGCGAAAGCCUGAUGCAGCCAUGCCGCGUGUGUGAAGAA